GUGCUUGCUUCGGCAGCACAUAUACUAAAAUUGGAACGAUGCAGAGAAGAUUAGCAUGGCCCCUGUGCAAGGAUGACACGCAAAUUCCUGAAGCGUUCUAUAUUUUU
rnacentral:snRNA from 1 species